GAUGAACGCUGGCGGCGUGCUUAACACAUGCAAGUCGAACGAAGCACUUUAUUUGAUUUCCUUCGGGACUGAUUAUUUUGUGACUGAGUGGCGGACGGGUGAGUAACGCGUGGGUAACCUGCCUUGUACAGGGGGAUAACAGUUGGAAACGGCUGCUAAUACCGCAUAAGCGCACAGCAUCGCAUGAUGCUGUGUGAAAAACUCCGGUGGUAUAAGAUGGACCCGCGUUGGAUUAGCUAGUUGGUGAGGUAACGGCCCACCAAGGCGACGAUCCAUAGCCGACCUGAGAGGGUGACCGGCCACAUUGGGACUGAGACACGGCCCAAACUCCUACGGGAGGCAGCAGUGGGGAAUAUUGCACAAUGGGCGAAAGCCUGAUGCAGCGACGCCGCGUGAGCGAAGAAGUAUUUCGGUAUGUAAAGCUCUAUCAGCAGGGAAGAUAAUGACGGUACCUGACUAAGAAGCACCGGCUAAAUACGUGCCAGCAGCCGCGGUAAUACGUAUGGUGCAAGCGUUAUCCGGAUUUACUGGGUGUAAAGGGAGCGCAGGCGGUGCGGCAAGUCUGAUGUGAAAGCCCGGGGCUCAACCCCGGUACUGCAUUGGAAACUGUCGUACUAGAGUGUCGGAGGGGUAAGCGGAAUUCCUAGUGUAGCGGUGAAAUGCGUAGAUAUUAGGAGGAACACCAGUGGCGAAGGCGGCUUACUGGACGAUAACUGACGCUGAGGCUCGAAAGCGUGGGGAGCAAACAGGAUUAGAUACCCUGGUAGUCCACGCCGUAAACGA
rnacentral:rRNA from 1 species